GACGAACGCUGGCGGCGUGCUUAACACAUGCAAGUCGAACGGCAAGGCCCUGCUUUUGUGGGGUGCUCGAGUGGCGAACGGGUGAGUAACACGUGAGUAACCUGCCCUUGACUUUGGGAUAACUUCAGGAAACUGGGGCUACUACCGGAUAGGAGCUCCUGCUGCAUGGUGGGGGUUGGAAAGUUUCGGCGGUUGGGGAUGGACUGGCGGCUUAUCAGCUUGUUGGUGGGGUAGUGGCUUACCAAGGCUUUGACGGGUAGCCGGCCUGAGAGGGUGACCGGCCACAUUGGGACUGCGAGACGGCCCAGACUCCUACAGGAGGCAGCAGUGGGGAAUAUUGUACAAUGGGCGGAAGCCUGAUGCAGCAACGCCGCGUGCGGGAUGACGGCCUUCGGGUUGUAAACCGCUUUCGCCUGUGACGAAGCGUGAGUGACGGUAAUGGGUAAAGAAGCACCGGCUAACUACGUG
rnacentral:rRNA from 1 species